UACGUAGGGUGCGAGCGUUGUCCGGAAUUAUUGGGCGUAAAGAGCUCGUAGGCGGUUCGGUAAGUCGGGUGUGAAACCUCCAGGCUCAACCUGGAGACGCCACCCGAUACUGCUGUGACUAGAGUCCGGUAGGGGGAGCGUGGAAUUCCUGGUGUAGCGGUGAAAUGCGCAGAUAUCAGGAGGAACACCAGCGGCGAAAGGCGGCGCUCUGGGGCCGGAACUGACGCUGAGGAGCGAAAGCGUGGGGGAGCAAAACAGG
rnacentral:rRNA from 1 species